rnacentral:rRNA from 2 species
GGAAGUAAAAGUCGUAACAAGGUCUCCGUUGGUGAACCAGCGGAGGGAUCAUUACCGAGUUAUACAACUCCCAAACCCACUGUGAACCUUACCUCAGUUGCCUCGGCGGGAACGCCCCGGCCGCCUGCCCCCGCGCCGGCGCCGGACCCAGGCGCCCGCCGCAGGGACCCCAAACUCUCUUGCAUUACGCCCAGCGGGCGGAAUUUCUUCUCUGAGUUGCACAAGCAAAAACAAAUGAAUCAAAACUUUCAACAACGGAUCUCUUGGUUCUGGCAUCGAUGAAGAACGCAGCGAAAUGCGAUAAGUAAUGUGAAUUGCAGAAUUCAGUGAAUCAUCGAAUCUUUGAACGCACAUUGCGCCCGCCAGCAUUCUGGCGGGCAUGCCUGUUCGAGCGUCAUUUCAACCCUCGAGCCCCCCCCGGGGGCCUCGGUGUUGGGGGACGGCACACCAGCCGCCCCCGAAAUGCAGUGGCGACCCCGCCGCAGCCUCCCCUGCGUAGUAGCACACACCUCGCACCGGAGCGCGGAGGCGGUCACGCCGUAAAACGCCCAACUUUCUUAGAGUUGACCUCGGAUCAGGUAGGAAUACCCGCUGAACUUAAGCAUAUCAAUAAGCGGAGG